rnacentral:rRNA from 1 species
AAGAGGCUGAAACUCGCCUCUUUGAAGUCGGAAUCGCUAGUAAUCGCAGAUCAGCAUGUUGCGGUGAAUACGUUCCCGGGUCUUGUACACACCGCCCGUCAAACCAUGAGAGUCACCAACACCCGAAGUCCGCUUUGGCGGCCUAAGGUGGGGGAGAUGAUUGGGGUUAAGUCGUAACAAGGUAAC